GGCUCAGGAUGAACGCUGGCGGCGUGCUUAACACAUGCAAGUCGAACGGACUCAUAUUGAAACCUAGUGAUUUAUGAGUUAGUGGCGGACGGGUGAGUAACGCGUGGAAAACCUGCCGUAUACUGGGGGAUAACACUUAGAAAUAGGUGCUAAUACCGCAUAAGCGCACAGCUUCGCAUGAAGUGGUGUGAAAAACUCUGGUGGUAUACGAUGGUUCCGCGUCUGAUUAGCUUGUUGGUGGGGUAAUGGCUCACCAAGGCGACGAUCAGUAGCCGGCCUGAGAGGGUGAACGGCCACAUUGGGACUGAGACACGGCCCAAACUCCUACGGGAGGCAGCAGUGGGGAAUAUUGCACAAUGGGGGAAACCCUGAUGCAGCGACGCCGCGUGAGUGAAGAAGUAUUUCGGUAUGUAAAGCUCUAUCAGCAGGGAAGAAAUAGCGACCUUUGGGUCGCCAGACGGUACCUGAUUAAGAAGCCCCGGCUAACUACGUGCCAGCAGCCGC
rnacentral:rRNA from 1 species